CCUACGGGAGGCAGCAGUGGGGAAUAUUGCACAAUGGGCGAAAGCCUGAUGCAGCGACGCCGCGUGAGGGAUGACGGCCUUCGGGUUGUAAACCUCUUCCAGCAGGGAAGAAGCGCAAGUGACGGUACCUGCAGAAGAAGCACCGGCUAACUACGUGCCAGCAGCCGCGGUAAUACGUAGGGUGCGAGCGUUGUCCGGAAUUAUUGGGCGUAAAGAGCUCGUAGGCGGCUUGUCACGUCGGAUGUGAAAGCUCGGGGCUUAACCCCGAGUCUGCAUUCGAUACGGGCUAGCUAGAGUGUGGUAGGGGAGAUCGGAAUUCCUGGUGUAGCGGUGAAAUGCGCAGAUAUCAGGAGGAACACCGGUGGCGAAGGCGGAUCUCUGGGCCAUUACUGACGCUGAGGAGCGAAAGCGUGGGGAGCGAACAGGAUUAGAUACCCUGGUAGUCCACGCCGUAAACGUUGGGAACUAGGUGUUGGCGACAUUCCACGUCGUCGGUGCCGCAGCUACGCAUAACGUUACCCGUCCGUCGGGAGGUACGGCCGCGACGGACGUAAACGUACGAAGGAAGUUAGUACGGCGUGAGACGUGCCGACGGACGACGACGAGGGAGGAGG
rnacentral:rRNA from 1 species